CACCAAUAAUUUUUCUGCGAUUUUGGCCAGUGACAAGAGUUUCCUUUUUUAUUAACGAACAGAAAAGAAAAGAAUCAAGUGCUCUUCACUCUCUGAUUUAUAUCACUUCAGGAAGAAAGAAGCCUUUUUGUCUCUUUAUCAAGCCUACAGUCAUGGAAUGUGUAUAUGCUUUUUUUUUUUUUUUGAGUACUGGGGAUUGAACUCAGGACCUUGCACCUCAGAACCACUGAGCUAAAUCCCCGGCCCAGUGUACAUGGUUUCUUCAGUUUCAGCCCUUGUGAUUGCCAUUCAACAGAAGUUGCUUAUACCAUGGUCAUCUUUCUUUGUAACCAAACCUUUUGCUUGUGAUUUUGCUCUCCUAAGUGUUAAUCAUUUGUGGCACCAACAACAGCACUAGUAGUUUCUUGCUUAUCCUGACACGUCACUGACUUCUUUCUUUUUUCUAGCUUUCAGUAUUUCUGGCAAUUCUUUCCUUUGCUACCCUUGGAAAUAAAACAUCUGACAUAGUCACAAGUCAUCAGCCAUGUCUAGAUGACCAUGAAUUCCAUGUACAUAACUGCUAGUAUAACAGAAAUAUGUCCAAUUAACACUGCUAGCAGAAGACUCUCCACUUGAAUGUCUCAAAACCUUAAUAUAAUAAGUAAGAAAUGGUCAAGUAGUACUUUUAAAUGACUUGACCUAAUAGUUACAUUCCCAAACUGGAGUUAAUUGCUUGCUUCAAAACUUCAUUUUCUCCAACUAGCUUACGAAUUACUGAUAGCUCUGGACCUUGAGUUUCUUGGUUUGUUGCAUUGAAAUCAUCUGUAGUGUUCCUUCCUUCUUCCAUCUUUCCAUUUCUCCAGGGAGUGAAAAAGCUUUUAGCUGAUCUUUGAUUUCUUCUUCUAUCUAACCAUGUUAUUCUUGGGGUGUAAUAAUGAAGUUUGCAUGCCCCCUUUUAUAAUCUGAUGUAGGCCCACAAGCAUUGAUGCUUUGCUAAUAUUGGUUUAUUUAUUAUGCCUUCUUUGGAAAAUCCUUUGUGAUUACUUGUUUGAAGUUAAAAAUACUGAUUGGAUACAAGAUUCUUUUUUUUUUUUUUCAGUUUUCAGCAUAUAUCUCCAACCUGCCCUCAGUCUAUAUUUGAGUUUAAUAAAUCACAGUUUAAUUUUACUAAGCUUAAUUUUCUGCUCUGUAAAUUGAGACUAAUAAUAUUAACAAUCUCAUAAGGUUGUGGUUAGGAUUAAUUUAAUACAUGCAAUCCUUAGAAUGAUGCCAGAGUUAUAUCAAACCCUUAUUCAGUGUUAAUUAUGUGGAAAAAAAUUCAUUAUCAUCUCAUGCUGAAGACAAAUUUUUUUUGUAGUUUUCUACUAUUUUUGCAAAAAACCCCCCCCACAAACAACACCCCCAAAUCAACAGCUUUUGAAGGGUUCAUGUUUAAUUCUGGGUCUGUAAAAAACUCUUGGUUGAUUUUUAGUUGUCUUGAUCCAAUUUUAUCCUCUGUAAUGAUAGUACUCUUUAAUGAUGAUUUUUUUAAAAAAACCCUAAAAACAUACAUAUUCUCUAGAAGGUAUUUAGUAUCAAGUAUCCUAAUAAAGAGUUGCUAUGAAGCAAAUCUUUUGCUAAAGGUGAUUCUCAAACUUGAGUUUACUAAAAUGGUCCAAGAAAUAUAGUAAGGGAUUUGCACUGCAGUAAUGUCUUUGAAGUCGUCGCCUGCCUUUAAUUUUUCAGUAAGCGCCUAAUCUCAUUAGAUUUCAUACACCCAGUGUUUGCACUUGCACAAAAGCUGUCCAAACAAAGCCAAAAUGUUGACACCACCGUCCUCUGAUGGCAUUUAGAAUGAAUAUAUUAAACACACUUGCACUAGCAUUGCAUUAAGCUAAGAAAUAAAUUUUGAACUUUGAACUCAGCAGGAUAAAAAGUUUUACUUGAUAGCUGAGCAAUUGUGUUGUGGUAUCAUGGGGGGAAGUCAUUGUGUUGUUCAGAGAAUCCAAAUAUGCAAACAUGCUCUGCAUACAGUAGGCACUGCACAAGUAAAGAAUUAAAGUAAGGAACAGUCCUCAAAUCCUGUUGUUAGGGACAUAAAUGGAAGGUAAAGUGGACUGGUGGAUUUGCUUUGAAAUGCACUGAAUAAACUUUGAUUAAACUCGCUUCAGAGAAAGGCUCUGAAAGAAUACCUUCUAGUAAGUGUGUGAACUAGAGUAUGCUUUACUUCAAUCCACUCUGGUAAUUCACAAAUUUAGGCAUUUUUCUUUAGAAUCUGGAAAUUAUAUUUUUAUUAAAGGUUUGGAAACUGAUGAUUAUAGAGAACAUAAAAGAUAAGACUUCUCUGACUUUUGUCAUAAAAUAAAGAUAGCAACAAGGCUAGAAUUUGGAACCAACUAAAUCUAAUGGCUAGAGCUAUUUAGUGGUUUCUAAGUAGACAGAAGUGAAAGUAAAAGAGUUUCCCCAUAUAUUGUGUAUAAAUGUUUAUAAACCUAUAUAUCUGUAAUAUGAUCAUUAAUUAAGAAAUAUAUACCAAUGAGGAAAAUACCACCCACCAAAAUCCAUUCAUUAAAGUUUGUGCACAUUACUUAUUGAAAAUUUCAUAAUUCCUCAGCCUGAUUUCUUUUACUUUAGACAUUAUUUGCUUGAGUUUUGCUUUUUGGCUUGUGUGAAAGGAUUUCACAAGAAACAUUUUUUGAAAUUUGUUGAUACCAGCUAUUAUCAGAAUAAUGUUGAAGAUAUCUAUGUUAACUUAUUGGUUUUUUGUGGAUAUCAUGAAAAAAGUUCUCUCAGGUCUUCAUAUCAAGAGCAGUAGUAAUUUCUAUGAAUAGCUGGC
rnacentral:lncRNA from 1 species